UGAAGUGGGACAGCUGCAGGCAAGAUGGGCAUAAGAAAUGCUAUAAGGACACACCAGAGCACAACUUGAAAUGAUUUGGCAAGGCAGUGAAAUGCUAGGAAGCAGCCGUAAUAGACUGGGCAUUUUCCCAGAAGUUUUCAAAGAACCCAGCGGUACUUCACAAACGGUCACUUUGGCAUAUGCGUGAGACAUUGUGACAGUCUCUAGCAGGUUACUCUGCUUACAAGGGUUGAUGCCCAAGAAGGCUCUGGUGUCCCAGAGCCGAAGGAUCCUUUUGAUAACAGGGAGCUUGAGCUGAGACUGCAUAUUAGGAGGGAACUUAAGGUUUUCUGAUAAACAUAAAUUAUGUUUCAUUAAUACAGCAUGGAAUUUCUUUGAAGCAGUUUGAGGACAAGGAGAGCCAGUGGGUAUAAUUUUUUAUUACGACUGUGACAUGUAUGCAAAAGAACAAGUAUGGCUCAAAGAGUAGUGGCGAACUAUGCUGGAUGUAAGCUUUUUGGGAGGGCACUGAGGGAGAAGCUUUAAAAGAUUUUUGACAGUUUCCUUUGGCAAAAGCAGUAAAAGGAGUUGCAAGAAAAACAAGGAAUGGGGCAAAGGAUAUUUGUUGUCCAUGAACUGCUAAUGCCAUAGAUUUUGAUGCUGGCUUUUUAUUUAAAAAGAUCCAGUCAGUAAUAUCUUUGAGAUUGGCUAAAUUUACAUUUUGAUAGUAAACAUUCAUAGAUAUGAAAACAACAAACCAAUGGGGAAAAUAAACUGAAAGAUGGUUUGCCACAGAUCUGAAACCACAGGAGUCCGGGAGUUAGCAUACUCAGCUGUAUACAGAAAAAUGGAAGAAUAUGUUGAUUGUGAUGCCAUGUGACUUCCAGAUACAGGCCUUUUGAAGUCUUGAAGCUUCUGUUUUACCUCCUGGACAACAAGCCACCAAAUAGAAGAGGCUUGAGCUGGACCAGGAGAAGUGACAUAGUGGAGAAGGAAGGAGCCACCCAGAUGAAAGCUGUCCUAGAGACCCAGAAGUAAGAGUGGGUCAUCUUGGAUGGCUGAGAGUAUAGGGGAACACUUCAUGCCUGAGCCCUACUCAAAUUCGGACCCUCAUAAUUGUGAGCCAAUAAAAUUGGGGUUGUUUUAA